rnacentral:rRNA from 1 species
UGGGGAAUAUUGCACAAUGGGGGAAACCCUGAUGCAGCGACGCCGCGUGAGCGAAGAAGGCUUUCGAGUCGUAAAGCUCUGUCCUAUGAGAAGAUAAUGACGGUAUCAUAGGAGGAAGCCCUGGCUAAAUACGUGCCAGCAGCCGCGGUAAUACGUAGGGGGCUAGCGUUAUCCGGAUUUACUGGGCGUAAAGGGUGCGUAGGUGGUCUUUCAAGUCGGUGGUUAAAGGCUACGGCUCAACCGUAGUUAGCCUCCGAAACUGGAAGACUUGAGUGCAGGAGAGGAAAGUGGAAUUCCCAGUGUAGCGGUGAAAUGCGUAGAUAUUGGGAGGAACACCAGUAGCGAAGGCGGCUUUCUGGACUGCAACUGACACUGAGGCACGAAAGCGUGGGUAGCAAACAGG